CUGCUGAUGCUUGUAACUUCAUUCAGAAACUCUUCACCAUUUGCUUUGCUCUCUGUCAAGACCUUGACAGCCACCUGAUGGCCGUUGCUCAACUUCCCUUUGUACACGCUGCCAUAUCCUCCUUUGCCUAAUUUCUCGGAGAAUGAAUUUGUCAUUUUCUUCACAUCCGAAUAUGUGUACCUCUUUGGAGCCAAAGAUCCAUGAGCAGCAAUGAAUGCCUCGACAUCGACAUGAUCCUGACCAUUUUUGUGGCUGCAAAUAAUAGUCUUCAGCAAUAAGCACCAGCUUUUGCGGCGGCAGAUUAUUACAAGGAUAAACAAAACAGCAGCACCAGACAGACCAGCUACAACUGCAAAACAUCCAAAUAAGAAAGUUCUGUCAGUGGCUAGAUUGUGGCCCGAUCCUGUGGCAGUGAGACGGCAGAAUUCAAGUGAUUCAGAUGAAAGAGACUCUCAUGGAGACAAGCAUGCACACGAACAUCCACUCACAUACGACUCAAUGGUAAACAUGGAAAGUGCUUUCAGGUCAACUGAUGAACAACUGAACCAGUUGUGGAGUGAAGCAGCUGGAGGAAGCUUGUGAAGUUUUUUUUCUUUUUUUUUUUCAGCUCAUUUGGCCUGACCAGGGAUGCAGCUAAGGUUCCAAAGCAACUUUUUAAUUGUAACUAUAUCUAUUAUUUCUGGCUAGAGAGGUAUAGCUGGAUAUUUCAAUUGUUAAUGAAGAUAACAUCGUGGGUCGUCUUCGGCAACCUGCGGCUGUCUUUUGUUGACCGCUUAUGCAGAUGUAACUAGAAGGAUGUUGACUUCU